rnacentral:rRNA from 1 species
GACGAACGCUGGCGGCGUGCCUAAUACAUGCAAGUCGAGCGAAUCAAUAGGAGCUUGCUCCUGUUGGUUAGCGGCGGACGGGUGAGUAACACGUGGGCAACCUGCCUGUAAGACUGGGAUAACACCGGGAAACCGGUGCUAAUACCGGAUAAUCCUUUUCCUCUCAUGAGGAAAAGCUGAAAGUCGGUUUCGGCUGACACUUACAGAUGGGCCCGCGGCGCAUUAGCUAGUUGGUGAGGUAACGGCUCACCAAGGCGACGAUGCGUAGCCGACCUGAGAGGGUGAUCGGCCACACGGGGACUGAGACACGGCCCAGACUCCUACGGGAGGCAGCAGUAGGGAAUCUUCCACAAUGGACGAAAGUCUGAUGGAGCAACGCCGCGUGAGCGAUGAAGGCCUUCGGGUCGUAAGCUCUGUUGUUAGGGAAGAACAAGUACCGGAGUAACUGCCGGUGCCUUGACGGUACCUAACCAGAAAGCCACGGCUAACUACGUGCCAGCCGCCGCGGUAA